rnacentral:sRNA from 1 species
AGCCUGUGGGUAUCAUGAAGGGAGCAAGCAACAUCAGAGGUUAGCCUGCUGCAGUGAUCCCGUCAGGCCUGAUGGUAACAGCACAGCAGGAGCCAAGCAGAAGCAAGUCUCCAGCUUACAGCCAAUUAAACACCUUCUCAAUGUGAAGAUGACACGAAUGAAGACCCUUAUGAUAAUUGACUUCCACUCAAUAAAUAGUAAUCAGCUCUGAUACAGGGUCUACUGUUUCCUUCUGGAUGAUAGACACUGGGCAGAAAAUCAAACAGUUUACUGGUUGCCACGGCAACGCAGAAAUCAGCACUAUGGCCCUUGAUGCAAAUGAGACUCGGCUUUUGACUGGCAGCACAGAUGGGACUGUAAAGAUAUGGGACUUCAAUGGAUAUUGUCACCAUACACUAAAUGUUGGGCAAGAUGGAGCUGUGGAUAUUUCACAAAUCCUCAUUCUUAAGAAGAAAAUACUGGUUACAGGCUGGGAGAGGUCUAUUACUGUGUUUCGACCCCAAAACUUCAAUCAGUUUUUCAUCCAGCCUGAAGAAUGGAAAGGAGGCAUACAGCACCAUGAUGACAUCUUGUGUGCUGAGUUUUUACCUCCACAAACUCUUGUUACGGGGAGUUAUGAUGGAGAAAUUGUUCUAUGGAACAAUAGCACAGAGAAUGCUCACCAUGUUCUUCACCCUGAUUACCAGAGGUUGCUAAAGUCAAAAUUAGAUACAAAACCUCAAAAACUUCUCAGUGCUGGGAGAAGCCAACCCUCCCACCCCGUGGCAGACCAUUCUACCACAGGAGUCCGCAACUUUGAGAUUGACACUGAGGGCAAAAAUGCUGUUAUGAGACUUUGCUUCCUUAAAGCAAGAAAAAACACUGCAGUGACAGGAGGAGCUAACCUGGUAUCAUGUGGAGGAUCUGGUUAUGUCAGAUUUUGGGAUACAUAUAAGAAGCAACUUCUGGCUGAAUUUUUGGCUCAUAGUGGAGUUGGAUCGAUUAUUAUGUCUACUGAUAAGAUGAAUCGAUACCUUACCACAGGAGAUCUUGAUGGAUGGUUGAAAAUCUGGAAUAUAGAGGAGUACUGUCUUAACUCCAGUAAGAACAAAAUCACCAAGGCCCCAACUCUGAUAAGAUCAUUCCAACCUCAUGAGGACCGAAUAAGUUCCUUAGAGAUGUGUGAGCCAGGUGGUCAGUUACUGAUUAUCUCCUCCUCUGCAGACUGCAGUAUUUGUGUGACUGGUGUCUGCAAUGCUCCUGUUUGGAUCUUUGGUCAGGCAAAGCACUGGCAUAUUGAAAACUGCCUUUUCCUUCCUAAAAGAGAUACUAAUUUAGUGGAAAGUGAGAUUCAAAAGGAAAUUUCUUUAUUUUCUAAGGAGGAAUCUUGUUUAGACCCAACAGAACAUUCUCUACUUAAUAAGAAAAACAAAGAUGACUCAACGUACAAUGUCGGACCAUCAGAAGAUAUAAAUUUAGAUAUAAAAUAUAAGGAAAGGAGUACCUGCAUGAAAGAAACACAAAAACCUUAUUAUGGUGAAGUUAUAAAAAAAUCAUUCAGUACAUUUAGGUCAUUAAACAUUGGAGCCCUGGAAGAGCUGCCUGAAGUGAAUAAACCUGCUUUCCUUCUAGACCCUGAGAAAUACUUUAGGAGAGAACCAGAGGAAGAGCGUCCCCAAAUUCCAGAGGCCCCGUCACUUUUUAAAACUUUGAAAGCUGUAUUUGAUGAGAAAAACCUGUUUCCCAAGGAAAUUCUGGAUCAUGAACGAAAAGCCAAGCAAUUAUGCCAAGAAAAAAGUUGUGAAGUGAAGAAAAAUAAGAAGUAAUUACAACAGAUAAACCUUCACUGUUACAUAAAGUACAGAUAUAAAAUGCAGAAAAAGCAUCAAGAAUUCUGCCUUUUGUUUUAUUUUAUAUUUGAACUUCAGGAAGUUUUCUCUUCAUGGGAUAAUUUAGUACUGCUUUUAUCUAUCAUCUGUCAAUUUCUCUGUAUUCUUAAUAAAAUAAAUAUUGAACU